UACGAAGGGGGCUAGCGUUGCUCGGAAUCACUGGGCGUAAAGCGCACGUAGGCGGAUUGCUAGUCAGGGUGAAAUCCUGGAGCUCAACUCCAGAACUGCCUUUGAUACUGAAGAUCUUGAGUCCGGGAGAGGUGAGUGGAACUGCGAGUGUAGAGGUGAAAUUCGUAGAUAUUCGCAAGAACACCAGUGGCGAAGGCGGCUCACUGGCCCGGUAC
rnacentral:rRNA from 1 species